rnacentral:tRNA from 1 species
GGGGCGUAGCUCAGAUGGUAGAGCGCUCGCUUAGUAUGAGAGAGGUACGGGGAUUGAUACCGCGCGCCUCCA